rnacentral:rRNA from 1 species
GACGAACGCUGGCGGCGUGCCUAAUACAUGCAAGUAGAACGCUGAAGGAGGAGCUUGCUUCUCUGGAUGAGUUGCGAACGGGUGAGUAACGCGUAGGUAACCUGCCUGGUAGCGGGGGAUAACUAUUGGAAACGAUAGCUAAUACCGCAUAAGAGUAGAUGUCGCAUGACAUUUGCUUAAAAGGUGCAAUUGCAUCACUACCAGAUGGACCUGCGUUGUAUUAGCUAGUUGGUGAGGUAACGGCUCACCAAGGCAACGAUACAUAGCCGACCUGAGAGGGUGAUCGGCCACACUGGGACUGAGACACGGCCCAGAGUCCUACGGGAGGCAGCAGUAGGGAAUCUUCGGCAAUGGACGGAAGUCUGACCGAGCAACGCCGCGUGAGUAAAGAGGGUUUUCGGAUCGUAAAGCUCUGUUGUAAGAGAAGAACGAGUGUGAGAGUGGAAAGGUCACACUGUGACGGUAACUUACCAGAAAGGGACGGCUAACUACGUG